rnacentral:tRNA from 1 species
GCCUGGCUGGCUUAGUCAGGAAAGCACGUGACUCUUGAUCUUGGGGUCAUGAGUUUGAGCCCCACGCUGGGUG